UCGGAGGAAAAGAAACCAACAGGGAUUGCCCUAGUAACGGCGAGUGAAGCGGCAACAGCUCAAAUUUGAAAUCUGGCUCUUUUAGAGUCCGAGUUGUAAUUUGCAGAGGGCGCUUUGGCUUUGGCAGCGGUCCAAGUUCCUUGGAACAGGACGUCACAGAGGGUGAGAAUCCCGUACGUGGUCGCUGGCUAUUGCCGUGUAAAGCCCCUUCGACGAGUCGAGUUGUUUGGGAAUGCAGCUCUAAAUGGGAGGUACAUUUCUUCUAAAGCUAAAUAUUGGCCAGAGACCGAUAGCGCACAAGUAGAGUGAUCGAAAGAUGAAAAGCACUUUGGAAAGAGAGUCAAACAGCACGUGAAAUUGUUGAAAGGGAAGCGCUUGCAGCCAGACUUGCUUACAGUUGCUCAUCCGGGUUUUUACCCGGUGCACUCUUCUGUAGGCAGGCCAGCAUCAGUUUGGGCGGUAGGAUAAAGGUCUCUGUCACGUACCUCCUCUCGGGGAGGCCUUAUAGGGGAGACGACAUACUACCAGCCUGGACUGAGGUCCGCGCAUCUGCUAGGAUGCUGGCGUAAUGGCUGUAAGCGGCCCGUCUG
rnacentral:rRNA from 1 species